rnacentral:rRNA from 1 species
GGCGAACGGGUGAGUAACACGUGAGUAACCUGCCCCUGACUCUGGGAUAAGCCCGGGAAACUGGGUCUAAUACCGGAUACGACACCUCCUGGCAUCGGGUGGGUGUGGAAAGUCUUUUCGGUUGGGGAUGGACUCGCGGCCUAUCAGCUUGUUGGUGGGGUAAUGGCCUACCAAGGCGACGACGGGUAGCCGGCCUGAGAGGGCGACCGGCCACACUGGGACUGAGACACGGCCCAGACUCCUACGGGAGGCAGCAGUGGGGAAUAUUGCGCAAUGGGCGAAAGCCUGACGCAGCGACGCCGCGUGGGGGAUGACGGCCUUCGGGUUGUAAACCUCUUUCAGCAGGGACGAAGUUGACGUGUACCUGCAGAAGAAGCGCCGGCUAACUACGUGCCAGCAGCCGCGGUAAUACGUAGGGCGCAAGCGUUGUCCGGAAUUAUUGGGCGUAAAGAGCUCGUAGGUGGCUUGUCACGUCGGGUGUGAAAGCUUGGGGCUUAACUCCAGGUCUGC